rnacentral:tRNA from 2 species
GGCGAUAUAGCUCAGAUGGUUAGAGCGCACGACUCAUAAUCGUGAGGUCCCGGGUUCGAUCCCCGGUAUCGCUA